rnacentral:rRNA from 1 species
GUUGAACGCUGGCGGCAGGCCUAACACAUGCAAGUCGAGCGGGGUUUUCGGACCUAGCGGCGGACGGGUGAGUAAUGCGUAGGAAGCUGCCCGAUAGAGGGGGAUACCAGUUGGAAACGACUGUUAAUACCGCAUAAUGUCUACGGACCAAAGUGUGGGACCUUCGGGCCACAUGCUAUCGGAUGCGCCUACGUGGGAUUAGCUAGUUGGUGAGGUAAUGGCUCACCAAGGCGACGAUCUCUAGCUGGUUUGAGAGGAUGAUCAGCCACACUGGAACUGAGACACGGUCCAGACUCCUACGGGAGGCAGCAGUGGGGAAUAUUGGACAAUGGGCGCAAGCCUGACCCAGCCAUGCCGCGUGUGUGAAGAAGGCCUUCGGGUUGUAAAGCACUUUCAGCGAGGAGGAAGGGGUGUGUGUUAAUAGUACACACCUUUGACGUUACUCGCAGAAGAAGCACCGGCUAACUCUGUGCCAGCCGCCGCGGUAAUAC